AAUUGAGGGCAAGCAAGAAGUUGAAAUGCAGGAUGCAGAGGUGGGUGAAAAGAGAGGAGAAAAAGAAGAGGAGACUGAUGAGCUGAAGGAGGCUGAGGUUAAGAGUGAAGGUAAAAUGCAGGAAGAUGCAGCUGGAAAGAGUAAGCCUGAGGAAUUGAAAGAUAAGAAACCUGAGGAAAAUGUUGCGACAGAUUUUGAGAUUCACAGUGCAACUGAUGAGGCUGUUAAUGUCGAGAAGGGUGGAAAUGAUGAGCCUGACAAAGCUAAUGGUUCUGAGGAAGUUUCAAAAGUGGAAGAAAACAUUGCAGAAAAACAGGUU
rnacentral:lncRNA from 1 species